CUUGGAGAACGUCAAUUGGCCCUGAUGGGGACCCGUAGGGAAAAGUUCUUUAAGGAAAGGGGGGCCAGAAUGGAGUUGGGGCCCCCCCGAGGAGUUGCGGCAAAACUCAGUCAAGGCGGGGAGGGUCGGAUCUAAGCGGCCAUGGCAGUAGGGCACCAGAAAGCAGGGAGCGUAGCGCUCAGGAGGAACCAAGAAAGCCUGGCCGAGCCAGCUCCGUGGAGGCCUCGGAGACCCUUGAGACUUUCUUCCUCCAGCAGCUGCACAGAUGAGGCUGCUUGUGUCCACCCGUCGCGUUGCUUUUGGAAGACGUGUGGGAGAGUGUCUCGGAGGGUUAAAAGCUGUGCAAGUUACGGGGCUCCCUUGGAGGACUCCGGAGGACCCACAGUCGUUCCGCCUCUGGCCCCUGCGCUCGCGAGUAAUUUGACGUUGAAAGCUUUCGUGAGAUUACACACUGCUCCGUGGAAACGACUCUUAAAGUGUGAAUUGGCUUCCCUCCGUCUCGAUUCUUGUAUCGGAGCUCCUGCUAGUGGGGGUGUCGUGUGUUGAGGGACCUGUGAGAUCCUACACCUGAUAGUCGGGGGCUUAGAUGUUGUGGUUGGAGACACCCAGCUAAAACAAAGCCCCGUGUAGACUCCUCUGUGGAGUGCAGGGAAGGCAGCGGACUGUAGUCUGAAGGAGUAGCGAUGACAAGGAGGAUGUGGCUCCUGGUUGGAUCUAGAAAAGGGGACAUCUUUGGGGCGAAAGCACAAGCGGCCUUUUGAAAAUGAAUGGGUGAUGAUGAAAGAGCAUUCCAGAGAAGACUGCGUGGAGCAAGGGCUCAAGAGGAAGUGGGUAUCAUACUGGGAGUUCAAUGAAGAGAGCAGUCUAACUGAAAUGGGGAAAGAAAGGAAAAAAAAGGACAAGUGAAAAGUAAGGUUCAAUAAAUAGGAUGGGGAAUUGUAAAUUUUUUUUCUUUUUUUUUUUUGCGGUACGCGGUCCUCUCACUGUCGUGGCCUCUCCCGCUGCGGAGCACAGACUCCAGACGCGCAGGCUCAGCGGCCAUGGCUCACGGGCCCAGCCGCUCCGCGGCAUGUGGGAUCUUCUCGGAUCGGGGCACGAACCCAUGUGCCCUUCAUCAGCAGGCGGACUCUCAACCACUGCGCCACCAGGGAAGCCCGAGCCACAGCUCUUGAAGCCCACAUGCCUAGAGCCCGUGCUCUGCAACAAGAGAAGCCACCGCAUUGAGAAGCCCGCGCACCGCAACGAAGAGUAGGCUCCGCUCACCACUAGAGAAAGCCCGUGCAUGCAACGAAGUCCCAACACAGCCAAAAAUAAAUAAAUAAAUAAAAAGACAGUGGUAGGAACAGACGUGGAGAGAGGGGGCGAUAGGUAAUUUGGAGGAGGAGUUUGGUUCAAGGGUGGGGGGCAGAAAAGUGGGGUAAAACUUCAAGCAAUAGGUAGGGUCAAAAGAGUAGUUUCUAAUUAUUUACAUCCACAAAUAUUUUAGUAUUUCUAAAAGAUAAUAUUUUUUUAAUAAAUAUAACCUCAAGGCCAUUAUCACACUUGAAAAAUUAACAGUACAGUCGUCCCUCGGUAUCCAUGGGGGAUUGGUUCCAGAACCUGCAGCAGAUACCAAAAUUCACAUGUGCUCAAGUCCCACAGUCAGCCCUCUGAAUCCAAGGUUCCACAUCUGUGGAUUUAACCAACCUCAGAUCGUAUACUACUGUAUGUAUUUACUGAAAAAAAUCCAUGUGUAAAUGGACCCACGCAGUUCAACUGUAAUAACUAGUAUUAUCACUACCCUGUCAAUCUUCAAAUUUCCCUAAUUAUCUCAUAAUUUUUUUGCUACCAGGUGGAUUGAGGUAUAAUUAGUAUACCGUACAGUUCACCCAUUUAAAGUAAUGCAUUCAAAGGGUUGCACAAUCAUCACCACAGUACAGUUUAGAACGUUUUCAUCACUCCAAAAAGAAACCCUAUGCUCAGUAGUAGUCACUACCCAGCCCUAGGCAACCACUAAUCAACUUUUUGUCUAUAGACUGGCCUAUUCUGAACAUUUUAUGUAAAUGGAAUCAUGCAGUAUAUGACUGGCUUCUUAAGCAUGUUUUGAAGGUUCAUCUAUACUGUAGCAUGUAAUAUUACUUCAUUCCUUUUUAUCGUCAAAUAAAAUUCUAUUUUAUAUAUA